UUCCGAAUCUUUGGCACUCCAGGAGUGUCAUUCACCCUGGGGCUGACAAGGCUGUCUCUGAAUGCUGGGAUUCAUUUCACUGACUUGAAUGAGAAUGAUCUUGUGUCCAGUGCCUGGCUGCUACCUGCAGCUGUCAGGAAGUGGUGAUCAAGCAGAACCACCAAAUUUCCAUGUGGGGACUGCUUCAGUCCCUGCUAAGAAAGUAAGUUUAAUUGGAAAAACUGAAUGAAAAAGGAGGGACUGUAACCAUCCCUAAAUCACAAAGGGCUGCUGUCUUCAUUGCAGACAGGAUUAUGGGGAACAAUGAAAGGGGAUGCAGAAACUCGACUGGGAAGCCAUGCAGCAAGAACAGUAGAAGCACAGGUCUCACCCAGCAGACCCCCCUCAUGCUGCACAGCCAGGCACAGGGAUUUCAGCUGGAGAGUUGCCUGACCACCUACCACACAAAAUUUAAUGUCAGAUCCACUAAAAAUAUUGGCAAGAGUCCCACAGGCUCAGGUUGCACAAGACUGGAUCUUUAAUGAGAAACGGUAUUAAUGAAUUUUCAAAACAAGCCAAUCCAGAAUUGUUUCUGAUGGAGACAAAUGUCCACCCGGGACUACGAUGAGAUCAUUGAAGUCAUUUCUACUUGCGACUUCAGCAGAAAAACACAUUAACUUAUCAUUUUUAUUACCACAAGUUUCACUUCCUACAAGCAACAUUUAUGUGGUCUGAGAGGGUAUUAAACUUUAGAUCACAUCAGGACCACAGCAAUUCAGCAUAAGUGACUUUCUAUUUCCUCUCAGCUGAAAACAGACCUUUCUUGAACAAAGCACAACAACAUUCAGAGAGCAUCAAUGUGUACAGCAUAGAGUGCUCUUGGGCUUCAUGGUGAACAUACUGUGAAUUCCAUUUUAUUCACAAGUAUCAUAUUUAUGCUGUAAAAUUCUGAAAUUCUGCAUAUUUAGUGUUCUGUUAUUCAGGGUUUACCCUAAACUCUUUUAAUAUUAUCAACUAUAAGAUAUACACUAAUGUCUGUGCUGCAGAAAACACAAAUUCUCUAUAUGUCAUAGAAUUACAUGUAGAAUUAUAAUAUGAAAAUUUUCUUCCUUAUGUCCAACCUAAAUUUUCUGUCUUUCAGUUUACAGCCAUUUCCCCUUGUCCUGUCACUACAGGUCCUGAUAAAAAAUCUUUCUCCAUCCUUCUUAUAGGCCUGGCCCUUUUUAUAUAUUGAAAGGCCCAAUAAUGUUUCCCUGGAGAAUUCUCUUCAGGCUGAACAACUCCAACCCUCUCAGCCUUUCUUCAUAGGAGAGGUGUUCCAGCCCUCUGAUGAUAAUAUGAGGAACUCGACUACGGUUACUGCAACUAGUCUAGAUUUUCACCAGUGUAUUCAGAAAACAAAAGCUGUUCUAGAGACAGUUUGAGUUAGCUAUGCAUUGCCAGCCUAAUAUAGAACUGUAGGUUGAAAAAUUAAGACCCAUUGUGCUAAGCUCCAGAUCUGGAGUAAAAGAAAACCUGACUUGAGUUCUACUGCUAUUAUAAAUAAUAUGGCAUAACUUACCAGUCAGUGCAUAGUGAAUUUUAUUGACUACAGAACUGAUUCUUAAUUGCAGGCAUAGGCAAUAUGCAGAUACUGCUCUCACUUUAAGGCAAGACUUUUAGGGAACCUGGGAGGCUACAGGUUUUACACAAAUCACCAUUUAGACUGCCCUGCCCAUGAAAUUGGUGGCAAAUUUUAUUAUUUCUAAGUUGCAAAUGUACAGAACAUUCAGAAGGGAAAAAUAUCUAUGCCCUCGGCCUCUAUUUUUCUUCCGCCUUAUAUUUGCAUGCAUUUGUUCUUUUACUCCUUAUGUGGUAAAAGAAACACAAAAUGUAAUGUAACAUUUUGUUACAUUAUGUAACAGGAGAUUUUCAAAUCUAUAUGCAUAAAAAUCUUGAUUUAUGGUUUUACAAGGCAGCAACCUUAUCUGAAAAUGGUUUAUAUUAAAAGCAAAUUUGUGUUACCAAAAAUAGGAUUAUUCUGAAAUGAACAAAGCAAAGAGUUGAUGUGGGAGGGAAAACAAAAGCAAACAACAAAAGGAAAUGAAAGCCUGGGAAAAUAGAACCGAGUAAACCGACACAGUCAGGUUCAAGUUGCCAGAGUUUCAGUCUGGAUUAUUGCUGUUAUUGUUCUUGAAUUUCAAUUUCAAGAAUAUUUAAACGUUUCUGUUUUUCCCUUUGUUUACUUGAUUUUUAGGAAGUUCAUGACAACAUAUUUCUUUCUACUUCAUCCUGAUUAGCUGGUGCUUCAUCACUGUUCCAGCUGUGAUAUGCUAAACUCUGAUUUGGGGGCCAGCUCUCAGCCCCAGUUUGAAAGACCCUGGUCCAGGACAAAACUCCUUGUCUAAAACUAUAUCACUAGUUCAUUUAACUAUGUGCUGAAGAGUAGAACAAACAGAAAUUUGCCUGAAUUUGAAGGUGGACAGAAAACAAGUACUUUGAGCAGAUAAGCAGAAGGCAAGGUUAUGUAUAAAUGUAUCCUCUGUGUUUGGUUGAGGAUAACUGUGGAAAUAUGAAAAACUCUGCAAAUCUACUGUUAAGUCUUUAGUUUCUCGCUAUAUUGAACUUCAAUGGUUCAUUUCUACUGGCUUCUGUAAAAAGGGGAAAAAUACCAGCAAAAGGCAGCACAGAGCUUCUAGAUACAAGGGAGAGGGUCACUUGUGUAUUUUUUUUUGCUCUUGUUGUUCUGAUUCUUCAAUAUUUCAUUUCUGAAAGAAGAACCAAUUGUGGAUGUAAUAGUUGAAACUGGGAUGGAAAACUUUGAUUUUGUUUUCAUCAGUCAUCUGACUCAUCUAUACCAGCAUUCUGAACACAUUUCACACAAUGUUAGACCUGCAUAUGCUGCAAAUUUUGAAGGCGGAGGAUCCCUGCCCAUAAAAGGGUUGGCCCAAAACAAGUUAAAAAACAAAUAAAAAAAAAAAAAAACACUCCAUAUUGAAGUUUUUAUUGAGGAAUAAUAAAGAAAGAGUGCAGAUCCUUGAGCCUCAUGAGAAGUUUAGUGUAGAACACUAAUUAUUUUUAUAGGGAUUGCAGUUAAAAUCUGAAGACAGAAUUCUCUGAAAUUUUCUAGAGGACAUUUCAAUGUUGUUGUUGUUUGUUUGUUUUUUCAUUCUUAUUUUUAUAAUCUCACAGGCAAAUUUUAUGUUCCUUUUAGCAAGAAAAGUGCAUCCUUUAUCCUCAAAUGAAAAUGAAUGCUUUCAUAUGCACAACAUAUCUUCUCUCAGAAUUGCAGAAAGAAAAAAUACUUAAAUUCCUCAGAGAGGUUAAAUUACAUUAUGAAAGUGUCAUGGCCAUUUAAUAUAUUUAUAUUCAGCUCCAAUUUCUGGUGGCUUGGAUGUUGCUACUGCUGUUUUCUGUAGGCAAAAUAAAUGUGUAUGUGUUCCAGGCUAAGUGCUGUCACAGAGAUUUACUGUUCUCCUCAAGUGCACCUGCUACAGGGAAAAGAAAAAAAAAAAAAAAAAAAAUUAAAAAAAAAGUAUGCACAUAUCAAUGCUCGUUGCUAUACAUAAUGUACAAUAUGAUGUUGUUUUGGCACAGUACAGACAGUACAGACUCACAAAUUCGUAAAGCACAAGGUUCAGAUAUGCUUACAAGAAUACGUUCAUGAAACAAUCAAUACAUUAUGCAGGUCAGAUGGAUUUAUUUGCAUGGCUCACAGAAACAAGAAAAUGAGAUUGGAGCUGUGGGAGCAGAUAUUUAGGUUAAAAGGUGAAAACGAGGUGGGAAAAGAGAAAGUAGCAGAGGCAGUGCUGCAAAAGAAUGGAUAACAUGAGAAUAGAUGUUAUUCUAGUUGUGUGCCUGAAAAUAUCCAUCCGAAGAUUUUGUGUGGCAGCAAGUGGAGGUGAAUACCUAGGUAUAUGUAAAGAUCUUUCAAUCAGAGUCACAAUUUCAGAGAUUCCCCCAUUUGGCCAGACUUUCACACACUGUACUCAAAAGCUUUAAUUUUAAGUGCCACUUCACUGCUUAAAACCUGGACUGGCACCUUUGUUUUAUACAGCUCUUCCUAGGACCCAAACAUUAUUUGGACAUAAAGAAGAAAUCUGGGUGAGGUAUGAACUGGAGUAAAGCAUCCAAGCAUUCACUUUCUCUUCCAAAUCAGAAGCAAUCCAUAAGUACAAUCAGUUCUCUUUAGUGGCCGCCAACAGUUUCUAAAUCCGGUGGUCUUGAUGCUGCAUCUCUUAGGCCUGGGAAAAGGAGAAGAAGACAUAUACUUAUUGGUGUAUGAGAUAGGAGAUCAUGAGAAAGUCUUCUUCCCCUAAAAAAAGAAAAACAGAGUAGAAGAGAAAGUGAGGGACAGGUAAAGAAGCAGAGAAGUGGACAACAUAAACCUAAAAGUCCCCCCAUGAGUCCUUUGAAAAAAAUAAAAUAAAAUUUAAAAUACUACUUCUUGGUAAUUUUAGGAGCCAAAAGAAAAAAAAAAAGAGUGCCAAAUAACAUAAGCAUGAAAAGAUCAUACUUUUUACUUUCCUUCUUAUGAAAAUGAAGUUGUGAGUAGUUCAGUUUCAACUGUUCCAUGGAAUGAGCUACAGAAGGAGAAAAUGUGCAAAGAAAAAUCUGAUAUUCACUCAGGAAAAGUAGGGAAAUAUAGAUGAUUUAUCUUUAAUCAGCAACUUUAAGAACAAAAAAGCAUUGUACAAAGAAUCUAGUUUCUAUUUAAUAUUGUUGAAAGAUACCUCCUGAAAAAUUUGAAAUGCUAACUUUGAGAAAAGUGUUGCUGAGUGGCUGUUUUUAAAUCUAGACUUUCCUACAUCAUUAAUCAUCAAAGAGCAUUGCCUUAAAACUACAAAUUCUGCUUAUUCUCACCUGAAGCCAUCAUCUUUUUUUUUUUUUUUUUUUUCUUUUUUCUGUGAAAUCACACUUUGUUGCCAUGGAGCUUUCUAAGUGCAGAAAGGGAUUUGAACUUGAGAAGGGCUGACUACAGAAAUUGCCGCCUUUUAGUUUAGCUUGGAUAAAUAUCAACAUGCAGACAUUAAAUUAUCCAAGUCUUUUCUCAACUAACUAACCUUAUGGAAAUCACUCACUCUCUCCCUUUCGCCCUUCAUAUAUUUCUCCUUUCCUACAAUCAUUCAUUCAUGCCAACAGCCUCUAACUCAGCAGUGUGCUGCAUUGCCUCCUCCCUAAUUUGUAAUCUUACUUCACACUGCCCACACUUGGGCUGCUCCCAACAUCUCUGUGAAGCCUGAGAGCCCACUGCAGCUUUGCGAGGCUCUUUCUUAUUUUACUGCUCUGAUCCUGUACAAUGCAAAGAGUUUUAUGUACACUCUAAAGUAUCUUUUUGUCAUUACUUAUCAUUUUUCUUAUUAGAGAGGCAGCUACAGCAUUAUGUGCACUGAUAAUUUAAUCAUGACUUUCAUGGUGUUUGCUGUCAGUAAAGACCCAACUAUUUGAAUGCAACUAUUGCAAAGGAGUUUUUGAUGACGUUAAGAUGUUAUGCACUCUUAAGCCUAUGAUUCCAACCCCUUGGUGGCAUGGGACUAGAUGAUCUUUGAGGUCCCUUCCAAACCAAGAUAUUCUAUGAUUCUAUGAUUUCAAAGAAUCUGAAAGUUAUGCACAUGUGCUCUCUAAAAGGCUCAGUAGCCAAAUAUAUACAUAUAUAUUUGGAAUCAAAAAUCAGAAAAAGCUGGAAUCAGAAAAAGCAAGGAGCUGGAAGGAUCUGCUUCCUGAAAGACUUAGCUGACCUUUAAUAAAGAGUUAAAUUAUGCUGAAUAUUUUAUGUAAAGAUCUAUGACAUGAACAGAUGAAUACUGAAAACAAUAAAAAUCUUAGAUAAUAUUUUUGGUCUUGUGCAUUGUUUAUAGCUCAUCCAAUCCUACUAAAAUUAUCAGAAGUUUCAAGAAGAUAUGUGGCAACAAUUUUAUGUAAAAAUCACCAUAAUCUGCAACAGUGGUUAAGGACAUUCCAGUGACUAUUAACUCACUGCAAAAAGAUCUUUAAGCAGAAGCAUCCCAUUGUAUUUUUUCUCAUGCUUUUCUUUCUUUUUUUUUCUUAAAAAAGGCAUUCGAUAUUAUAACAUUUCUGAAAUUGCUUCAUUAAAUGUUCCAUAAGAGGUAGUACAGAAAUUAGCCUGAUCUUCCUUAGAAAGACAUGCUAUUGUUCUUUCAAAUGAUGAGGUUUUGCUUUUCUCAGCAAUCAAAUAAUAUUAUAGAUGAAAGAGGAGGUUAUAAUAUUUUCUUGCUAACUUUCAUAAUUUUCAUUGGAUCACACACAAAGGGAAAUUAACUCUGUGGAAUGAUUUUGGCUUGUUGUUGUUGUUGUUUUUCUUCUCAUAAACCAGACGAGACAUUUUCUCAUCAAGUUUGCAAUAUAUGCAUGCUGUUCCAGCAAAUGUUGAUAUACUCAAAUUGUUAACUCUAAGCCUCUUAAUGGAAGUAAGAUCAAGACAGAUCUGAAGGAAGUUUAGAAAGUGGGUAAAUAGGAAACUUAAACACAAAUGCUGUAACACAUACAGCUGAGACACACAAGCCAGAAAUCUCAAAUUUUUCAUCUUUUCAGAUGAACUUUUUAAAGAAAAUUGACCAGCUUUCAACUUUGUACUCUAUGUGGUGGACAUUUAUGUCAGUAUAAGACAAGAACUUGGUUUCAAGACAAUCAUUUCCAGAAUCUGGAAUUAUUCCUCACUGUACUUUUUGGGACAAAAAGAUCACAUACAGAACAAGGGAUACCAUCAUGAGCAGAAGAUUGUUUCUUAUUAAAAUGUCUUGGACAUAAUUCCUCUGACUUUUUGUUUUCACUAAUAACUUUCACUGCAUGAAUAUUUUUCCAGCUUUUCAUCCCCGUGCUGACAUAUCUCACAUCUGUGAGCAGUCUUUUUUGACACAUCUUCACUUCUUCUAAUAUAUUACACUCAUAUUUUCCCAAAA